rnacentral:rRNA from 1 species
CCUACGGGAGGCUGCAGUGGGGGAUAUUGCUCAAUGGGGGGAACCCUGAUGCAGCGACGUCGCGUGGGUGAAGACGCGCCUCGGCGCGUAAAGCCCUGUUAGCAGGGACGAAAAUGACGGUACCUGAAGAAGAAGCCCCGGCUAACUACGUGCCAGCAGCCGCGGUAAUACGUAGGUGGCAGGCGUUGUCCGGAUUUACUGGGUGUAAAGGGCGUGCAGCCGGGAAGACAAGUCAGAUGUGAAAUGCCGCGGCUCAACCGCGGAACUGCAUUUGAAACUGUUUUUCUUGAGUACGGGAGAGGUAAGCGGAAUUCGUGGUGUAGCGGUGAAAUGCGUAGAUAUAAGGAAGAACACCAGUGGCGAAGGCAGAAGACUGGACGGCAACUGACGGUGAGGCGCGAAAGCGUGGGGAGCGAACAGGAUUAGAUACCCGAGUAGUC